UUUGGACAAAUGUGUUUCAGGUCAAUCUGAACUAGUACAAAAAAUUCCAAUUUUGACACCUAACCGCCCAACCUACCCAUUUUGCCACUUCUAUGACAGGUUUUACAUUUUUUGUUCGAUAAUAGGUGAUGAAAUUUUAUGACCAGAAAUGCCUAGAUAACUUCAAAAGAUAUCAUAAGUCUACUUAUGCAUCUGACGCUCACCAAGUGCUUAAAGCUGCCUUGGCCAUUAACACCCAGAUUCUAAUGAUGAUGGAGGCUCCAGAAAGCUAUACUGAAACCCUUCCAAAGUGUUCCCUUGAAGAUACAACGAACUAUGAAACUACAACUUCAGAAAAUUUUGGAGGGACACUUUCAUUUGAAGUGGCAUAUGGCGUGGAUCAUGCAAGUUAUUCUUGUAUUUGAUUCUUGAGAAACUUGUUCUUUGAAUCAUAUAGAAUGAAUGUUAGAACGCACUUUUUAAUGUCUAAUUUUAUAUUCGGCCAAGUUUGUAAGACUUGUGACAUUGUUUUGAUGUAUGCAUUAGACCCUUGUGUUAAA